rnacentral:rRNA from 1 species
UACGUAGGGUGCGAGCGUUGUCCGGAAUUACUGGGCGUAAAGCGCGCGUAGGCGGCUAUUCAAGUCAGAGGUGAAAGCCCGGGGCUCAACCCCGGAACUGCCUUUGAAACUAGGUAGCUAGAAUCUUGGAGAGGCGAGUGGAAUUCCGAGUGUAGAGGUGAAAUUCGUAGAUAUUCGGAAGAACACCAGUGGCGAAGGCGACUCGCUGGACAAGUAUUGACGCUGAGGUGCGAAAGCGUGGGGAUCAAACAGG